rnacentral:lncRNA from 12 species
AGCAGCAGCAGAAGUACCAGAUUAUUGAGUCUGAAAACUCCGAUUCAUCUCCUGAGCGAAAAAAGAGCCAGAAGAAGAAGAAAAAGAAAAACAAAAGCAGAGAAAGCUCUGAGAGCCCCUCACCCUCUCCUCGACGAGAGAAGAAAAAGGACAAGAAGAAGAAAAAGAAAAGGGAGGAAUCAGUGAAGAGUGACACAGAGAGGUGGGUUUUCUUCUCAUCACUGUAAGUUACCUUUGAUAACUGUAUGUACUAUAUAUUUAAAUGUUAUCAUUU